CCCGGGAGGUGCGUUUCUUUUGCUGGGGCUGUUUCGGUGGAGAGCUCUUGUCUCUGUCGCCGCUGCUUUCUCUCUCUAGGUCUGUUUGUCUGUCUCCCACAUGUACAAAGUCUCAAGGAGUCCCGGUGGCCUCGAACUCACAGCAAUCCUCCUGCCCCCUACUCGGCUUUGUAUUUAAUUUGGUUUUUCGAAACAGGGUUUCUCUGUGCAGCCCUGGCUGUCCUGGAGCUCACUCUGCAGACCAGGCUGGCCUUAAACCCAGACAUCUGCCUGCCUCUGCCUCAUGAGUGCUGGGAUUAAAGGUGUGCGCCCGGCUUUUGUUUUCACUAGUGUGGAGAGGCUGCCACCUCAAAAGUGUGCAGUGUGCAGGUCUGGCUGUCGGGAUGGCUCAGCGGUUAAGAGCACUGCCUUCCAGAGGUCCUGAGUUCAAUUGCCAGCACCCACAUGGCGGCUCACAACCAUCUAUAAUGAGAUCUGGUGUCCUCUGCUGGCAUGCAGACACACAUGCAGAUGGGCUGUCUUCAAACCUGGGAUGUGCUGAGAAUGACCUUUAAUUUCUGAUAUUCCUGCCUCCACUUCCAGAAUGCCCGCACAAGAGCCGCUGCUUAACUCCAGUCCCAGGCCUCUGUGAGAACUGCACUGUGUGUAUGUGGUGCAGACCGGCAGACUGACGACUAUACACAGGACACUUUGGGCCACUAAGAAGGUUCAGAGGACACGGCUCACAGGCCGGAAGAACAAAGCAAAGCAAGCUCUGACAGACCCUUCGACCUCUACGUGCACACAGAGGUAUAUGCCCCUAAAUGCAAAGUACUAGAUACCCAAGUGGUGCAUGUCACUUCAAAGCCAAAGAUGGGACUCUUAUGUGGCCAGCCCUGUCUCCUGCAUUUGGGGGGCUCAGGCCCAUCCCACUUCCCUUUAAUGGGACAAAUCCUAUCGACUGGAACCCAUGGACCCUCCAAAGCACACAAGGAGUGACAGAGGGAAACAAGCCAGAGAGACAGACACAGCAGACACCAGUCAGGUUCUGAUCCAAACACGCUGCUUUAUUCAAACCGGGUCAAACUGGUCAAUGGGAACCUGAGCCUUGCUGAGGAGCCUCCAGCAAGGCCUGGCCUGCCACCUGUGUGGGGCCCAGGCCACCUGUGACGUCAGCAUUGCCACCCGGGCCAGGGGCCCUGUGGCACCCACAGCCACACAAGCCGCUCAAAGCAAGGAAUGAACAAAAAACCAAAUGCACGCAGUAGUCUCCACCUGUGCCCCAGCCUGCGCCGGCGGGAGCAAGGGCCCCGCUUCCAGCACACGAACCCUGCUUUAAAUUAAAAAAUAAGCCAGUAUACAUCGUAGAAAAUUUCUCUUAAAAAUCUCACAAUUUGUAAAUGUAUAUUUCUUUUUUAACAUAAAAG